CAGCCGCCGCGGUAAUACGUAGGUCCCGAGCGUUGUCCGGAUUUAUUGGGCGUAAAGGGAGCGCAGGCGGUUUAGUAAGUCUGAAGUUAAAGGCAUUGGCUCAACCAAUGUAUGCUUUGGAAACUGUUAGACUUGAGUGCAGAAGGGGAGAGUGGAAUUCCAUGUGUAGCGGUGAAAUGCGUAGAUAUAUGGAGGAGCACCGGUGGCGAAAGCGGCUCUCUGGUCUGUCACUGACGCUGAGGCUCGAAAGCGUGGGUAGCGAACAGGAUUAGAGACCCCAGUAGUCCCUGUCUCUUAUACA
rnacentral:rRNA from 1 species